UACGUAGGGUGCGAGCGUUGUCCGGAAUUACUGGGCGUAAAGAGCUCGUAGGUGGUUUGUCGCGUUGUUCGUGAAAUCCCACGGCUUAACUGUGGGCGUGCGGGCGAUACGGGCAGACUGGAGUACUGCAGGGGAGACUGGAAUUCCUGGUGUAGCGGUGGAAUGCGCAGAUAUCAGGAGGAACACCGGUGGCGAAGGCGGGGUCUCUGGGCAGUAACUGACGCUGAGGAGCGAAAGCGUGGGGGAGCGAACAGG
rnacentral:rRNA from 1 species